UACGUAGGUGGCGAGCGUUGUCCGGAUUUACUGGGCGUAAAGAGCGCGCAGGCGGUCGUACAAGUCGCGUGUGAAAGCCCCUGGCUCAACUGGGGAGGGUCACGCGAUACUGUUCGACUCGAAGGCAGGAGAGGGAAGUGGAAUUCCCGGUGUAGUGGUGAAAUGCGUAGAUAUCAGGAGGAACACCCAUAGCGAAGGCAGCUUGCUGGGACGUUACUGACGCUAAGGCGCGAAAGCGUGGGGAGCGAACAGG
rnacentral:rRNA from 1 species